AUACAGUUAGAUGAAGUUAGAUUCUAUUAAGUAGUUAAUUCUGUUUCAAUAAACACUGCACGUGUAUAAGUGGAAGUUAUUUUAGUUAGUUGUAAUCAACUUUGUAACUAAAUUGCUUUAGUUGCUAAGCCUUAUACAAGGCUGACUAAGUGCAAGGAGGAGUAGCUUUCGAAGUGUAAAGAACUGCUAGGAGAUUUGCCAUCUCGAAUUGGUCUUUUCAGUUACAAAUAGUAGUUUACUGUUACAAGCCGCCAUCUGCCGGCAACCAGAAGCGAGCCACCCAUCGGCUCCCACGAGCUCGUUCCUGUCCCAUCGUGGUCGAGGAGAUCGUUCCCGAAGCAACGCACCAGCUCCUCCGUCUUCCACCAUGGUUCUCCCUUUCCUCCCUUCAGCACACUCCCGCUUCUGAGGAGCCGCCACCACCACGGUGCCGCCACGACGACCCAUCAUCUCUUCCCGCCGUACAUCUCCGACGACCCAUCACCACCGCCAACAAGCCAAGACAUCAAAAGAGGGGCUACGGUUGAACAAAGCAGUGAAGAAUUGGUUUCAAUUCCACUUUUUGUCUAUUGAAUUGAUUUCCAUUAUUCUCGCGGCAGGAUCUGUAUGAGAGCUGAUUUCCAAAAUAAUCAGUAGCAGAAUCUUCGUGAGAAGAAUGAGAUGAGGAAAUACUUUUGGUACACUUGCUGCAUUUAUUGGACUAGGAGAUGGUUUAACAUUGUUCAUCUUGGACAGUGCUGAUUUUCUCUGUCAUUGAUUGCAUAAAUAUUAUGUUGGCGUA